rnacentral:rRNA from 1 species
UGAGGAAUAUUGCGCAAUGGGCGAAAGCCUGACGCAGCGACGCCGCGUGAAGGAUGAAGGUCUUCGGAUUGUAAACUUCUGUUAAGUGGGAAAAAAGACUCGUCUCUAAUACAGACGAGGGAUGAUUGUACCAUUAAAGAAAGCACCGGCUAACUUCGUGCCAGCAGCCGCGGUAAUACGAAGGGUGCUAGCGUUAUUCGGAAUUAUUGGGCGUAAAGGGCGCGUAGGUGGCAUGUUAAGUUUGCUGUUAAAUCUUCCAGCCUAACUGGAAAACUGCAGCAAAAACUGGCAAGCUAGAGUGUAAGAGAGAGAAGUGGAAUUCUCGGAGUAGCGGUAAAAUGCGUAGAUCUCGAGAGGAACACCGAUGGCGAAGGCAGCUUCUUGGCUUACUACUGACACU